rnacentral:rRNA from 3 species
CAGCUUGCUGGUAGGCGUCGAGCGGCGGACGGGUGAGUAACACUUAGGAAUCUACCUAGUAGUGGGGGAUAGCUCGGGGAAACUCGAAUUAAUACCGCAUACGACCUACGGGAGAAAGGGGGCAACUUGUUGCUCUCGCUAUUAGAUGAGCCUAAGUCGGAUUAGCUAGAUGGUGGGGUAAAGGCCUACCAUGGCGACGAUCUGUAGCUGGUCUGAGAGGAUGAUCAGCCACACCGGGACUGAGACACGGCCCGGACUCCUACGGGAGGCAGCAGUGGGGAAUAUUGGACAAUGGGGGCAACCCUGAUCCAGCCAUGCCGCGUGUGUGAAGAAGGCCUUUUGGUUGUAAAGCACUUUAAGCAGUGAAGAAGACUCCGUGGUUAAUACCCACGGACGAUGACAUUAGCUGCAGAAUAAGCACCGGCUAACUCUGUGCCAGCAGCCGCGGUAAUACAGAGGGUGCAAGCGUUAAUCGGAAUUACUGGGCGUAAAGCGAGCGUAGGUGGCUUGAUAAGUCAGAUGUGAAAUCCCCGGGCUUAACCUGGGAACUGCAUCUGAUACUGUUAAGCUAGAGUAGGUGAGAGGGAAGUAGAAUUUCAGGUGUAGCGGUGAAAUGCGUAGAGAUCUGAAGGAAUACCGAUGGCGAAGGCAGCUUCCUGGCAUCAUACUGACACUGAGGCUCGAAAGCGUGGGUAGCAAACAGGAUUAGAUACCCUGGUAGUCCACGCCGUAAACGAUGUCUACUAGUCGUUGGGUCCCUUGAGGACUUAGUGACGCAGCUAACGCAAUAAGUAGACCGCCUGGGGAGUACGGCCGCA